AAGGGCGCACGGUGGAUGCCUUGACACUAGGAGUCGAUGAAGGACGGGACUAACGCCGAUAUGCUUCGGGGAGCUGUAAGUAAGCUUUGAUCCGAAGAUUUCCGAAUGGGGAAACCCACCAUACGUAAUGGUAUGGUAUCCUUAUCUGAAUACAUAGGGUAAGGAAGACAGACCCAGGGAACUGAAACAUCUAAGUACCUGGAGGAAGAGAAAGCAAAUGCGAUUUCCUGAGUAGCGGCGAGCGAAACGGAACAUAGCCCAAACCAAGAGGCUUGCCUCUUGGGGUUGUAGGACAUUCUAUACGGAGUUACAAAGGAACGAGGUAGACGAAGCGACCUGGAAAGGUCCGUCGUAGAGGGUAACAACCCCGUAGUCGAAACUUCGUUCUCUCUUGAAUGUAUCCUGAGUACGGCGGAACACGUGAAAUUCCGUCGGAAUCUGGGAGGACCAUCUCCCAAGGCUAAAUACUACCUAGUGAUCGAUAGUGAACCAGUACCGUGAGGGAAAGGUGAAAAGCACCCCGGAAGGGGAGUGAAAGAGAUCCUGAAACCGUGUGCCUACAAAUAGUCAGAGCCCGUUAACGGGUGAUGGCGUGCCUUUUGUAGAAUGAACCGGCGAGUUACGAUCCCGUGCGAGGUUAAGCUGAAGAGGCGGAGCCGCAGCGAAAGCGAGUCUGAAUAGGGCGUUUAGUACGUGGUCGUAGACCCGAAACCAGGUGAUCUACCCAUGUCCAGGGUGAAGUUCAGGUAACACUGAAUGGAGGCCCGAACCCACGCACGUUGAAAAGUGCGGGGAUGAGGUGUGGGUAGCGGAGAAAUUCCAAUCGAACCUGGAGAUAGCUGGUUCUCCCCGAAAUAGCUUUAGGGCUAGCCUUAAGUGUAAGAGUCUUGGAGGUAGAGCACUGAUUGGACUAGGGGUCCUCAUCGGAUUACCGAAUUCAGUCAAACUCCGAAUGCCAAUGACUUAUCCUUAGGAGUCAGACUGCGAGUGAUAAGAUCCGUAGUCAAAAGGGAAACAGCCCAGACCGCCAGCUAAGGUCCCAAAGUGUGUAUUAAGUGGAAAAGGAUGUGGAGUUGCUUAGACAACUAGGAUGUUGGCUUAGAAGCAGCCACCAUUUAAAGAGUGCGUAAUAGCUCACUAGUCGAGUGACUCUGCGCCGAAAAUGUACCGGGGCUAAAUACACCACCGAAGCUGCGGAUUGAUACCAAUGGUAUCAGUGGUAGGGGAGCGUUCUAAGGACAGUGAAGUCAGACCGGAAGGACUGGUGGAGUGCUUAGAAGUGAGAAUGCCGGUAUGAGUAGCGAAAGACGGGUGAGAAUCCCGUCCACCGAAUGCCUAAGUUUCCUGAGGAAAGCUCGUCCGCUCAGGGUUAGUCAGACCUAAGCCGAGGCCGACAGGCGUAGGCGAUGGACAACAGGUUGAUAUUCCUGUACCACCUCUUUAUCGUUUGAGCAAUGGAGGGACGCAGAAGGAUAGAAGAAGCGUGCGAUUGGUUGUGCACGUCCAAGCAGUUAGGCUGAUAAGUAGGCAAAUCCGCUUAUCGUGAAGGCUGAGCUGUGAUGGGGAAGCUCCUUAUGGAGCGAAGUCUUUGAUUCCCCGCUGCCAAGAAAAGCUUCUAGCGAGAUAAAAGGUGCCUGUACCGCAAACCGACACAGGUAGGCGAGGAGAGAAUCCUAAGGUGUGCGAGAGAACUCUGGUUAAGGAACUCGGCAAAAUGACCCCGUAACUUCGGGAGAAGGGGUGCUUUCUUAACGGAAAGCCGCAGUGAAUAGGCCCAAGCGACUGUUUAGCAAAAACACAGCUCUCUGCGAAGCCGUAAGGCGAAGUAUAGGGGGUGACACCUGCCCGGUGCUGGAAGGUUAAGGAGAGGGGUUAGCGUAAGCGAAGCUCUGAACUGAAGCCCCAGUAAACGGCGGCCGUAACUAUAACGGUCCUAAGGUAGCGAAAUUCCUUGUCGGGUAAGUUCCGACCCGCACGAAAGGUGUAACGAUUUGGGCACUGUCUCAACCAGAGACUCGGUGAAAUUAUAGUACCUGUGAAGAUGCAGGUUACCCGCGACAGGACGGAAAGACCCCGUGGAGCUUUACUGUAGCCUGAUAUUGAAUUUUGGUACAGUUUGUACAGGAUAGGCGGGAGCCUUUGAAACCGGAGCGCUAGCUUCGGUGGAGGCGCUGGUGGGAUACCGCCCUGACUGUAUUGAAAUUCUAACCUACGGGUCUUAUCGACCCGGGAGACAGUGUCAGGUGGGCAGUUUGACUGGGGCGGUCGCCUCCUAAAGUGUAACGGAGGCGCCCAAAGGUUCCCUCAGAAUGGUUGGAAAUCAUUCGUAGAGUGCAAAGGCAUAAGGGAGCUUGACUGCGAGACCUACAAGUCGAGCAGGGACGAAAGUCGGGCUUAGUGAUCCGGUGGUUCCGCAUGGAAGGGCCAUCGCUCAACGGAUAAAAGCUACCCCGGGGAUAACAGGCUUAUCUCCCCCAAGAGUCCACAUCGACGGGGAGGUUUGGCACCUCGAUGUCGGCUCAUCGCAUCCUGGGGCUGUAGUCGGUCCCAAGGGUUGGGCUGUUCGCCCAUUAAAGCGGUACGCGAGCUGGGUUCAGAACGUCGUGAGACAGUUCGGUCCCUAUCCGUCGUGGGCGUAGGAAAUUUGAGAGGAGCUGUCCUUAGUACGAGAGGACCGGGAUGGACGCACCGCUGGUGUACCAGUUGUUCUGCCAAGGGCAUAGCUGGGUAGCUAUGUGCGGAAGGGAUAAGUGCUGAAAGCAUCUAAGCAUGAAGCCCCCCUCAAGAUGAGAUUUCCCAUAGCGUAAGCUAGUAAGAUCCCUGAAAGAUGAUCAGGUUGAUAGGUUCGAGGUGGAAGCAUGGUGACAUGUGGAGCUGACGAAUACUAAUAGAUCGAGGACUUAACCAU
rnacentral:rRNA from 1 species